UUGACCUCGGAUCAGGUAGGAAUACCCGCUGAACUUAAGCAUAUCAAUAAAGCGGA
rnacentral:rRNA from 2 species